AUUUUUCUAUUUUAUCGGAUGUAUUUUCCUCUGAAUAAAGAAGGUCAUGUAAAUUUAAUUUUGGAGGUAUUCCACAUGCAAACAGGUACAGUAAAAUGGUUUAACGCAGAAAAAGGUUUUGGUUUCAUCGAGGUUGAAGGUGGCAACGAUGUAUUCGUUCACUUCUCCGCUAUCCAAGGUGACGGCUUCAAAACUUUGGACGAAGGCCAACGCGUAGAAUUCAACGUAGUUGAAGGAAACCGUGGACCACAAGCUGAAAACGUUGUAAAACUGUAAUUCAGCUAAGAGACGCCCUUAACGUUUGUUAAGGGUGUUUUU
rnacentral:sRNA from 1 species